ensembl:lncRNA
CCGCGAGGCCGAAGCGACUGCGCCUGCUCUCUAAAAAGAAGCGGUGGGGAGCCCACCCGCUGCGUUCCGUGGGUUGGUGUUGCCGGGCUUUAAUGAAAGUUAAAGGAACUCAUUGUUGAAGGAAUGAAAUUGAGAACAAUGUAAAAGUUAAAAGUGCCAUGUACAGUCCUCGACCCUGAGUCAGUUUUGGUCAACAUUUCGUUGUGUUUCCCCUGAGACAUCGGCUGAGUGCUUGGAGCUACUGGAGAAGAUAGACGUGGAUUUGGUCAGCGGCAGAGCUUUGCUGCGACAACUUCCAGGAGCAAGGAAGUGAAACGUAGGGUGAAGGAGUUAAAGUUUCCCUGCAUUAGGAUGAAACUGUGCCUGUACCUACAAGGUUAACUGGGAAACAGAGUAACCAAAGUUUCUGAGCUUGUCUUGCGGCACAGUGGGAGAACGCUGAUAAGAGAGUAGGUUGCUGACACCUUUCUGCCUAAGCAUCACGCAGGAUCACUGAGAAGCUGCAGGAUCACUGAGAAGCUACGAUGACCGAUUGUGAGCUUCACACGUCAUAGACUAAAGAUCCACCGCAUGCCAACUUAGGACCGCCACCCCCCUGCGUUUGCACGUGACCUGUGAAGAACUAUGAAAGUCGCCGCUGCGCAGAGGACUCUUAGAACUUCAGCCCCCAAGGCCACAUGCUCCCCUCCCCAUCUUAUUCUCACAACAUGCUUUGGAAAAACACUUAGAACUGCACCUAGUGGUGUGAAAGCGAUAUGCAUUCAGUAGAAAGUGUACUGAAUUUUCACAAACUGAACACAUCCGUGCAGCCAUCACUGGAUUGAGAAACAGAACAUGACCGGUGCCCCAGAAGCUCUCCUUAUGCUCCCUUCUGGUCAUUACACCCCUGCCCCAAGGGUAACCACCAUCUUCAUUUCUAACAGCAUGUGCAUCGUCCGUUCAGUUGAAAGUCUUAAGAGCAAAGACUGAAGUUUCCCAGGGAAAGGAGGGAACUCUUCCCCAAGACAAUAACAGAGAAGUUGUGCCUGAGUUUCCAGUCGACCUGCCUACCUGCCCUAUGGAUCGCAAACUCAAGACUACAACAUCAACUCCCACCUGAGUUUUCAGCCCGCCAGCCUGUUCUACAGAUUCCAGAGUUGCCAGCCCUAACAGUCACAUAAAACAAUUCCCUGAAAUAUAUGGAGAGAUAUAUAUUGGUCCUGUAUUUCUGGAGAACACUGACUAUUAUAGAUUUUGAUAGCAAGUGUGUCUAGAGGAAGAGAAUCUUAAGGGUGAAUUUUCUCAAUUCGUUCUGUGGUUUCUGGAAAUGGUUCCCUACUCUGAUUAAAUUUAAAGGCACUGAGGACUCUAUUUCCAGUGGUAAAGGAGCACCAAUAGUCCAUAGCAUGAUGUGGCAAUAGAGAUACCCAAAAUAUCAACAUUGGAUACUCCUACUCAAAUACCUAUGAGAAGCAAGGUUCUGAGUGACCAUAUAUUUGAUAACUUAGAAUAUUUUUGUUAAACUAGUGAAUAUAAUGAGACUGGCUGGUUGCUUUUAGCUGUACUAGAAAAGUAGAUAAAGAAAAGGAUGAGCUGAGGGCUUCAAAUUCCCAGCUCAAGCACCACAUAACUGACUAGAAAGUUUCUACGUCUGCUCUGAAAGAACCACUUAUGUCCUAUCACCAUAGAGCUGAGAUUUCUGAAAACCAAAACGAGGGUCUCACCCUACAAGUGGUUGAAUUACAACACAAAUUGAAUUCUCAGCCUCACAGGAAACCUCUGCUGGAUUGAAAAAAAACAAAAACAAGAUCCUGAAAAUUGGAAUGGUGACGUAAGGGCAGAUCCUGGUGAAGCUGGGGACACUGAACCUUAAAUUCUGUGAGUCGCCCUUGCCAGUAGAAGCAACACUUCCACUCCAACAUCUGAGGAUGUUGACCCUGCUUUGCCUGAGGAGCCUGUAAUGGGCUCUUCUGAGGUAGUCACCUUGUAAGACGCUGCUGAUUCCCCUCAGGACUCACCCCAGGCACCCCUCUUUGCUUCUAGAACUGUAGCAAAACUCAAGUCCCAGCAAGCCUGAAAAGAUGAGGUACAAGGUUUGACCCAUGAGGAGGUGCACCAUGCUCCAAAAGAACUGCAUUAUUUUUUCCAAUUUAUACAGUAUAUUAUAUACUGUAUUAUAUUACAUUAUACAAUUAUAAUUAUAUAUAUAGUAUAUAUUAUAUUAUACAAUGUAUAUUGUGGCAGUGGAUAUUAAGAGGGUGGGAGAAUGAUGGAGGGUAGAUAAAGUAGGAUUGGGCUGAAUUUAUUGAUAUGAACCUACUAAGCAGAGGUUCUGGAUUCAAUGUUGUAACUCAAGGGGUUAGACAGGACUCUAACUGGUUGGCUGGUUUGUUGGUUGGUUGUUUGGUUGGCUGGCUGAAACAUGGACCAAAAAGUGAUCCACAAUAAAUGAAGAAAUGUCAGAACUGCCUUGGUAUACUGUAAAGGAAGGGAUCCAAAGGCAUAGUGAGAUUGGAAUGUUAGAGUGUAUUUAUCAUGUAAGACCUGCUCACCCACUCCGGGAGGGUCUGGAGGACACACCUUUCACCAUGACUGUGAGAAAUAAAUUUGUCAAAG